GAGUUUGAUCCUGGCUCAGGAUGAACGCUGGCGGCGUGCCUAACACAUGCAAGUCGAGCGAUUUACUUCGGUAAAGAGCGGCGGACGGGUGAGUAACGCGUGGGUAACCUGCCUCAUACACAUGGAUAACAUACCGAAAGGUAUGCUAAUACAGGAUAAUAUAAGAGAUUCACAUGGAUUUCUUAUCAAAGCUCCGGCGGUAUGAGAUGGACCCGCGUCUGAUUAGCUAGUUGGUAAGGUAAUGGCUUACCAAGGCGACGACCAGUAGCCGACCUGAGAGGGUGAUCGGCCACAUUGGAACUGAGACACGGUCCAAACUCCUACGGGAGGCAGCAGUGGGGAAUAUUGCACAAUGGGCGAAAGCCUGAUGCAGCAACGCCGCGUGAGUGAUGAAGGCCUUCGGGUCGUAAAGCUCUGUCCUCAAGGGAGAUAAUGACGGUACUUGAGGAGGAAGCCCCGGCUAACUACGUACCAGCAGCCGCGGUAAUAC
rnacentral:rRNA from 1 species